rnacentral:rRNA from 1 species
AAAUAUUGWCAWCAKGGCAUCWGCCGGCAUUCGUGCCGGUGUACUUCCCUGGGGGCGGGCCAGCGUCGGUAGGGCGGCCGGUCAAAGGCUCCCGGAAUGUAGUGCCCUCCGGGCAACAUUAUAGCCGGGAGUGCAAUGCGGCCAGCCUGGACCGAGGAACGCGCUUCGGCACGGACGCUGGCAUAAUGGUCGUAAACGACCCGUCUUGAAACACGGACCAAGGAGUC